rnacentral:lncRNA from 1 species
UACGGUAGAAGAAAAGGCGGCGGGAUCAUACCAAGCAGGAGGCUGACGAACUCGACAACCACAUCCAAGAAGCUGCUCAGGUGCAGGUGAAGGAGAGGUGUCAGAAGAAGAUGCCGAAGCAUCAGGAGAAGACACAGGAGAAGAGUCAUUAGAAGAAGACACAACCCGUCGUGUAUAGACAUGUGUCACUGGAGGCUUCAUGGUAUAGUCAGGAACCAAAGGUGAAGGCUCAGAAGAUGAAACCACAGAAGAAGGCAAAAUAGAAGAGGACUCUGUAGGCAAAGGUACAAGGCUCGAAGGAGGUGCAAAAGCAAUAGGUGUAUCGGGAAAAGUCAAGAAAGAAAGCAG